rnacentral:misc_RNA from 1 species
UAAGUAACAUUGUGAAAGUGUACCAUUAACAUCUAGGUUUGGUAAUUUUGAAUGUUCAGUUAUUCAAGGCUAUCGAAAAAUACAAAGAAGGUAUUAGAUUGAUAGACGAAGCCUUGAGUAUACAAGUCCAAUGUCCAGAAAACCCGGAUAUCACAUGGGAAAAAGCACGCGUAAUGAUUCAAAAAAUUAAAAAGACGAGAGCCGAAGUGAUAACGCGUAUUAAUUGCAUUCAGGGUCCGUCCAGUGCUCAUACGAGUAUUUUAGGUGAAGAUCCGCCAUCGUACGAAGAAGCUAUGUCUUCUACGGACGACGAAGGACCAGUAACACCAGUAACAUACAAAGAUUUAGCUACGGCACUAAGAGAUUUGAGCGUUGAUCCGAAUCAACACAUGCACGAAGAAGUUGUUUAUACUCAUGAUAACGUUAGAGUUUAUUUUAUUUCUCCUAAUGGGGAAGUGGUUUCGACUCUACAGCCGGAGGUUUUGACAAUAUCACUAGUGAGAGGUACUGAACCAAAUGCACCUGCAGCGAUUCUUCAAGUAGGCACAUGGGUGUACCCAUUGGUUCCUGGUGUAUCUCCUUGUUAUAGAACCGACUAUGGAGCAUUUGUACUUCCGGAUCUAAACGCCGAUGUUCCUGGUUCUUCAGUUGGGAUUAUUUUACCGUCUGAUGCCGAUCAGGAGGUGUUUGACCUCUUGGAAAGCAUUCUUCACGGUAUUAUAGGUUCCACACCAACAGCAGAAGAUAUUAGGAGCUGGAGAGAAAGGAGAGCAACCGGACAAGCGGAAGAUUAUAGUACAUAUAUUUCUAAUAAAAUUGUUGAUGGAGCCCAUUUGCUCUCUCGAGGUAUUGUUCGGGGCGCAGAAAAGGCUGGCGAUUUCUUUAACAGAACCACCCCAACAAUUAUUAAUAAAGUACAACCAGCAGCAGAACCUGCCAAUGUUCCCCCUACUUUAGCUAAGACGAUACAUGUAGCAGAAUCAGCUACAAAUAAGGCAGCUAGAGUUACUGGAUUUAUAGCCGAAAGAGUUGGAGUUGCCACCGUCCGCUUGGGUCAAUACCUGGCUCCUCACAUCCAAAGAGGUGGAACUAAAUUAUUAGUUAAAGGUUUCAAGAUGCCAGAACGAGAAGCUUCAAAUAAGAUGCAAGGAGUUCUGACAGUUGCAGCUGGGGCAGUCGAAGGCUUUAGCACUGUCUACAGAGGGCUCGAAACGUCUGCAGGAGUUCUAGGAAAUAGCCUUAAAGAAAACACAGUUAAGAUUGUAGAACACAAAUAUGGAUACCCUGCAAGUACCCUAACAGGCGAUACCUUAUCAACAGUUGGUAACGUUUAUAAUAUCGCUUACAACACCAGAAUUAUAACUCCCAAAAGUCUAGCAAAACGAACUGGGGCCGGUAUAAUCCAUGGUUAUUCAAGUUCUUCGAGAGCUAGUACCUCUUUCGCUAACACAGAGAUCGGUGUCGAUACAAGAGUGAAAAGAGAAACUGAUAAUGAAAUUGAAGAAAAAAUCACUGAAGAGAAUAAUGGGCAGAAUCAAACAAAAAAAGGCUAGGUAUUUUGUUAAGAUAAUGGGAAGCAGGGACAAUAACUUGAAAUCUACAGAUAUAUGUGAUAACCAUAUUCGUUAAAGAGCGUAGGAGCAAAAUUUCGGCCAAUUUUUAAAUUGCAUUCAUUUUUUUCGAAUCCUGAAAAAAAAUAUUUUUGAAAAAUUUAAACGCAGAAUUAAACAUGACGUUAUUACCGAGGGCCGAAAAUCCCUUAGAAUAAACACAAAGUUUCUUUUGAAUGAGAUAUUUGAAAUCAAAAAGCACACUCAAUUUUCUCUUCUUUUUCACCCUUAUAACGUAUUAAAAUAAACGUUACAGAAGUUUUCAGGGACUUUCGGCCCUCGGUAAUAAUGUUAUCUUUCAUUCUACGAUUAAAUUUUUCAAAAAUACUUAUUAGCUUUUUCAGGAUUCGGAAAAAAUGAAUGCAUUUAAAAAGCAUUACCCGAAAUAUUGCGCCUACGUUCUUAAUUUAUGUAAAACUUAUUUUAUUAUAUGUUGUAUAUUGUGCGUUAUCAUUUAAAAUGCUUAUAUCAUAUUUUUAUAAAAAAAUUUAACUUUGUUGGCAACAUUAUACAAUGUAUAUGAAAUUAUUUCAAACAUAUUAUGAUUCUGUGAAUAUGUUAUGGAAGUUUUCAGAAAACAGCGAUAAGAUAAUUUUUUUUUACCGUAUUAUUUUGAUAGCAUUACAACUAACAAGCAGUAGUGUUUCUCUGUGAUCUUGAUUAUUCCAAAGUAUGUUUUUUCCGCCAGUAGGCAAAAUGUCCUAAAAAGGUUAUUGUUUGGUUAAUAAUAGAGAUGGAUCUAUUAGAACUAAAUUUAGCUUAUUAGAUUGCAGAGCGCAAGCCACUAAAAAAUUCAAAGACCCACCAAUUGGGACACAUUACCUACGCAUCAAAAGUGGUGAACAGUAAAUUUGGGAAAGCAGUUCUACUGGCUUUGGGUUCUGAAGUUGUGUUUCUGCCAGAGCGAGUGACAGAAAUUUACAAGCUAUAUGUGCAGUACUUGGUCGACAAGAAAUACUCUCUAAGUGUUUAAAAGAGCAGUAGAUGUGGGAGCAAACCGACAACCAGCCAGUUCGUUUGAAAUAAUAGAAAAUUAGAUUAGAGAUAUGCUGUGCAACUUAUAAAUACUCCUAUAUUCUAAGAGAAUACAAAGUAUGGAGAGAAAAAAUAUUAUCUGCCAAACUUAACAUCAAGAUGAAGUUGCUCAUCAAUCAAAUAUUUUUUUCCAGUUUUACUGUUUAUUCUUUUCUAUUCUAAGAAGAUGGCACGUGUACAUGAAGGAUUCCAAAAAAUAACCAGGAAACGUGCAAAUGGGCGAUAAAUAUGUGCAAAGGAAGUCAGAUUGUUAAAAAUAAUAACAACGUUACAUUAAAUCAAUUGUAUAUAUUAAUAAAUAAAAUGUAUAAAUUACAUAGCAUAUAGUGUAUUUUAUUAUUAUUAAAUAAAUUUGUUCCAUUAUAGCAUAUAAAUACAAUUAUGUAGGUAUAUAA